CCCUUAGAUGUUCUGGGCCGCACGCGCGCUACACUGAUGCAUUCAACGAGCCUAUCCUUGACCGACAGGUCCGGGUAAUCUUUGAAUCUGCAUCGUGACGGGGAUAGAUUAUUGCAAUUAUUAAUCUUCAACGAGGAAUGCCUAGUAGGCGCAAGUCAUCAGCUUGCGUCGAUUACGUCCCUGCCCUUUGUACACACCGCCCGUCGCUCCUACCGAUUAGGUGUGCUGGUGAAAUGUUCGGAUCGGCCGUUUGUCGCGGUUUCCGCGUCAUGUGGCUGAGAAGUUCAUUAAACCCUCCCACCUAGAGGAAGGAGAAGUCGUAACA
rnacentral:rRNA from 1 species